AAGAAGCUGGAAGCUCAUCAAAGUUUCAUUAAGCAUUGCAGCAAUGGGUUUUACAGUUUUCCUCCAAGCAUUUUCUCUCCUUCUGCUUCUUCAUACUCUGCCUUCUUCAGCUGUAGACCCAUCGGCAUGCAAAGCAAUGUGGGUUUUUAAGGCUCCUUGCACCAACACACAAAGUGGAACAGGCGGAGGCUUUGAUACCUUAUCCCUGUGCUCUUUUGGAGGAGUGUUAUUAUAAGGUUAUACAGGUUGCUCCUUAUUAUCUUGAAUUAGAGUGUUGUUACCCAUUUCUCGGUAAAAUAGCAAAUAUCGUCUUUACAUUCAGUUCAACUACAUCUCCAUAUUUCUGCCUAAUGAAGGGCCUUGCCACCAAUUUAUCUCCUUCAGAAACAAAGCCUUACUGCCACCUCCAAAAUGUUAUUAAUGAAAGUGGUCUCAGCAAGUUCCCUGGCUACAAGGAGUUCUGCAACAAACGCCUCUGUCCUUCAUAUGAAUCAAAAAAAUGCAACAUCUGAAUGUAAAUAACCUAAUUUCUGUUUUUCUCAUUUUCUUAUGUCAUUUGCUUUUUAAUUCAGAAAUUAUUUCAAGAUUAUCUCCUUGCUGUUACUAAACUCUCACUAAAUGACGCUUUGCUCAGAAUGAGGGUUUGUGGGUUGGCUGCUACCUUGGCCAGGUCUCUCUUGAAAAAGAGAUUCUGAAUCUCAAUGGGACUUCCUGGUUAAAUAAAGGUUAAAUAAAAAAAAUAAAUAAAAAAAAUGAACACACAAAAUGCUGACAGAAAUUAAAAGCACUUUAAAAUAAGUAUCUUUCAAGUAUGCCCUUAAAGAAUUAUAAAACUCUCAUAGAGGGAAAGUAAAAGGAAAACUCUUUGAAGACAAGUUAGAGCACUUGGAGAAGGCAAAGAAAAUAUGUAAAUGGAAAUGUAGCAUGUAGUAUUUAUAUAAAGUACAGUUUGUGGGUGUCAUAAUAUUUAAAAUUCUAUUUUAGGUUCCUUUCUAUGUCUCUGUUUUCUUGUAUUUUCUUGUUUUUUAAGGUUUUUCUAUAUCAGUUUAUCUUAGUGUUUGUUAUUGUUAUAUAUUUUCUAGUUUUAUUAUUAUUAGUAUUAAUAUGGUCUAUAUCAUGAAACCAUGAUAAAGGCAUUAAGCAGAGACUUUCCAGACAGCCUGGCCUCAUCUUGAUUUUAUGGAAGCAAUAACACAUAAGUUGUCAUGGUGUUUUAUUCUGUGCAGAUAGCUUGCUCCAGACCAGGCUUACAGCCAUGCUGACUCCAUUCUGGUUCCUUUUCUGCUCAGUCUGUCAUAAAACCGAUCAGAAAAUUUGCCCUAGGCAUGGAGUUUGGAUGUAAUCACUAAAACCACGCCCUAUGGACAUGGAUAAUACACGCACCUUAGUUUAGUUUUGUCAUCAAUUUAAUGUUUCUUUUUCAAUAACUCUUCAGUGCAAUAUUCAAUAACUAAGUCCAAUAUUUAUUUAUUGAUGUUACUUCUUCAAUAACUCAGUGCAAUAUAUAUAUGUAUGUAUAUAUAU